rnacentral:rRNA from 1 species
GAGAGGGAUAACAGUUCGAAAGGAUUGCUAAUACCUCAUGUGGUUAUAUGGUUUAGAAGCUUAUAACUAAACGGAUUUAUUCGCUUCGGGAGGGGCCUGCGUCCCAUCAGCUAGUUGGUAAGGUAAUGGCCUACCAAGGCGAUGACGGGUAGGGGACCUGAGAGGGUGGCCCCCCACAAUGGAACUGAAACACGGUCCAUACACCUACGGGUGGCAGCAGUAGGGAAUAUUGGUUAAUGUGGGAAACCGCGAACCAGCAACGCCGCGUGCACGAUGAAGGCCUUCGGGUCGUAAAGUGCUUUUAGAGAGGAUGAGGAAGGACAGUACUCUCUGAAUAAGCCUCGGCUAACUACGUGCCAGCAGCCGCGGUAAAACGUAGGAGGCGAGCGUUAUCCGGAUUUACUGGGCGUAAAGCGCGUGUAGGCGGUCUGACAAGUUGGAUGUGAAAGCUCCUGGCUUAACUGGGAGAGGUCGUUCAAAACUGUUAGACUUGAGAGUGGUAGAGGGAGGUGGAAUUCCGGGUGUAGUGGUGAAAUGCGUAGAUAUCCGGAGGAACACCAGUGGCGAAAGCGGCCUCCUGGACCAUUUCUGACGCUCAGACGCGAAAGCUAAGGUAGCAAACGGGAUUAGAGACCCCGGUAGUCUUAGCUGUAAACGAUGUGAACUAGGUGUCGGUGGGUUCAAAUCCAUCGGUACCGAAGCUAACGCGAUAAGUUCACCGCCUGGGGACUACGGCCGCAAGGUUAAAACUCAAAUGAAUUGACGG